rnacentral:rRNA from 1 species
ACUCCUACGGGAGGCAGCAGUGGGGAAUAUUGCACAAUGGGCGCAAGCCUGAUGCAGCCAUGCCGCGUGUAUGAAGAAGGCCUUCGGGUUGUAAAGUACUUUCAGCAGUGAGGAAGGCGGAGUCGUUAAUAGCGGCCUCGUUUGACGUUAGCUGCAGAAGAAGCACCGGCUAACUCCGUGCCAGCAGCCGCGGUAAUACGGAGGGUGCGAGCGUUAAUCGGAAUUACUGGGCGUAAAGCGCAUGCAGGUGGUUUGUUAAGUCAGAUGUGAAAGCCCGGGGCUCAACCUCGGAAUUGCAUUUGAAACUGGCAGACUAGAGUACUGUAGAGGGGGGUAGAAUUUCAGGUGUAGCGGUGAAAUGCGUAGAGAUCUGAAGGAAUACCGGUGGCGAAGGCGCCCCCCUGGACAGAUACUGACACUCAGAUGCGAAAGCGUGGGGAGCAAACAGGUUUAGAUACCCUGGUAACACAGAGCAGUCGUGGGAACAAGGCAC